CAGCUUCAGGGCGUAGUCGAUGUCACUGGUCAUCAGCUUGCGCCUCUUCCCGUGGUGCAUGAACUUCAGCGCAUCCUGGUCAACAAAAACACGCGCCUUUCAGGGAUGUGGUCAUCUCCAAACACAGCACCAGGCUUGCUGGCUCCCCGUACCUGCGCGAUCUCCUUGAUGCGGUAGCUGACCUCCUCGCUCAGGGCCACGCAGCUCUCCUCCUGCAGCUGCCCCACCCCCAUCGACUCGGCGAUUGCCUUCAUGGAUUCGGUGGGCAAGAUCACGCUGCAUGGCUUCGGUCUCCGCUCCUCUGCCAUGCCUGGGGUCGGGGCAACACGAAGAGAACAACUUUAUAUAAGAAGUAUAUGAAGAACGCAGAAUCGUAAGGUAGGGAGUAAUAUGCAGAUCCCAAGAGGUUUUGACAUACAGAUGACAGCGAAAUGUACCCGCAAAAAAGCCAACGACCCUCCCCUUUCAUUUGAAAUCGUGCGCAAACCGAGGAACGUUUUUAGAUGAUCAAAUAGUAAAGGUGAUAACUCCAGAUUAAAUUAUGCCAUAUAAAUGCACACAAUCGCCAUUUCAAAUACUAUAGUAUACAAAAGCUUCUUUUCAAAAGAAGAGUGAAACUACACACGCGCCUUCAGUUGAGUUUAAUCACGAAAAUCAGGUAUUACC